GGGUUGUGAGGUUAAGCGACUAAGCGUACACGGUGGAUGCCCUGGCAGUCAGAGGCGAUGAAGGACGUGCUAAUCUGCGAUAAGCGUCGGUAAGGUGAUAUGAACCGUUAUAACCGGCGAUUUCCGAAUGGGGAAACCCAGUGUGAUUCGUCACACUAUCAUUAACUGAAUCCAUAGGUUAAUGAGGCGAACCGGGGGAACUGAAACAUCUAAGUACCCCGAGGAAAAGAAAUCAACCGAGAUUCCCCCAGUAGCGGCGAGCGAACGGGGAGCAGCCCAGAGCCUGAAUCAGUGUGUGUGUUAGUGGAAGCGUCUGGAAAGGCGCGCGAUACAGGGUGACAGCCCCGUACACAAAAAUGCACAUGCUGUGAGCUCGAUGAGUAGGGCGGGACACGUGGUAUCCUGUCUGAAUAUGGGGGGACCAUCCUCCAAGGCUAAAUACUCCUGACUGACCGAUAGUGAACCAGUACCGUGAGGGAAAGGCGAAAAGAACCCCGGCGAGGGGAGUGAAAAAGAACCUGAAACCGUGUACGUACAAGCAGUGGGAGCACAGAGCAAUCUGUGUGACUGCGUACCUUUUGUAUAAUGGGUCAGCGACUUAUAUUCUGUAGCAAGGUUAACCGAAUAGGGGAGCCGAAGGGAAACCGAGUCUUAACUGGGCGUUAAGUUGCAGGGUAUAGACCCGAAACCCGGUGAUCUAGCCAUGGGCAGGUUGAAGGUUGGGUAACACUAACUGGAGGACCGAACCGACUAAUGUUGAAAAAUUAGCGGAUGACUUGUGGCUGGGGGUGAAAGGCCAAUCAAACCGGGAGAUAGCUGGUUCUCCCCGAAAGCUAUUUAGGUAGCGCCUCGUGAAUUCAUCUCCGGGGGUAGAGCACUGUUUCGGCAAGGGGGUCAUCCCGACUUACCAACCCGAUGCAAACUGCGAAUACCGGAGAAUGUUAUCACGGGAGACACACGGCGGGUGCUAACGUCCGUCGUGAAGAGGGAAACAACCCAGACCGCCAGCUAAGGUCCCAAAGUCAUGGUUAAGUGGGAAACGAUGUGGGAAGGCCCAGACAGCCAGGAUGUUGGCUUAGAAGCAGCCAUCAUUUAAAGAAAGCGUAAUAGCUCACUGGUCGAGUCGGCCUGCGCGGAAGAUGUAACGGGGCUAAACCAUGCACCGAAGCUGCGGCAGCGACGCUUAUGCGUUGUUGGGUAGGGGAGCGUUCUGUAAGCCUGCGAAGGUGUGCUGUGAGGCAUGCUGGAGGUAUCAGAAGUGCGAAUGCUGACAUAAGUAACGAUAAAGCGGGUGAAAAGCCCGCUCGCCGGAAGACCAAGGGUUCCUGUCCAACGUUAAUCGGGGCAGGGUGAGUCGACCCCUAAGGCGAGGCCGAAAGGCGUAGUCGAUGGGAAACAGGUUAAUAUUCCUGUACUUGGUGUUACUGCGAAGGGGGGACGGAGAAGGCUAUGUUGGCCGGGCGACGGUUGUCCCGGUUUAAGCGUGUAGGCUGGUUUUCCAGGCAAAUCCGGAAAAUCAAGGCUGAGGCGUGAUGACGAGGCACUACGGUGCUGAAGCAACAAAUGCCCUGCUUCCAGGAAAAGCCUCUAAGCAUCAGGUAACAUCAAAUCGUACCCCAAACCGACACAGGUGGUCAGGUAGAGAAUACCAAGGCGCUUGAGAGAACUCGGGUGAAGGAACUAGGCAAAAUGGUGCCGUAACUUCGGGAGAAGGCACGCUGAUAUGUAGGUGAAGUCCCUCGCGGAUGGAGCUGAAAUCAGUCGAAGAUACCAGCUGGCUGCAACUGUUUAUUAAAAACACAGCACUGUGCAAACACGAAAGUGGACGUAUACGGUGUGACGCCUGCCCGGUGCCGGAAGGUUAAUUGAUGGGGUUAGCGGUAACGCGAAGCUCUUGAUCGAAGCCCCGGUAAACGGCGGCCGUAACUAUAACGGUCCUAAGGUAGCGAAAUUCCUUGUCGGGUAAGUUCCGACCUGCACGAAUGGCGUAAUGAUGGCCAGGCUGUCUCCACCCGAGACUCAGUGAAAUUGAACUCGCUGUGAAGAUGCAGUGUACCCGCGGCAAGACGGAAAGACCCCGUGAACCUUUACUAUAGCUUGACACUGAACAUUGAGCCUUGAUGUGUAGGAUAGGUGGGAGGCUUUGAAGUGUGGACGCCAGUCUGCAUGGAGCCGGCCUUGAAAUACCACCCUUUAAUGUUUGAUGUUCUAACGUUGGCCCCUGAUCGGGGUUGCGGACAGUGUCUGGUGGGUAGUUUGACUGGGGCGGUCUCCUCCUAAAGAGUAACGGAGGAGCACGAAGGUUGGCUAAUCCUGGUCGGACAUCAGGAGGUUAGUGCAAUGGCAUAAGCCAGCUUGACUGCGAGCGUGACGGCGCGAGCAGGUGCGAAAGCAGGUCAUAGUGAUCCGGUGGUUCUGAAUGGAAGGGCCAUCGCUCAACGGAUAAAAGGUACUCCGGGGAUAACAGGCUGAUACCGCCCAAGAGUUCAUAUCGACGGCGGUGUUUGGCACCUCGAUGUCGGCUCAUCACAUCCUGGGGCUGAAGUAGGUCCCAAGGGUAUGGCUGUUCGCCAUUUAAAGUGGUACGCGAGCUGGGUUUAGAACGUCGUGAGACAGUUCGGUCCCUAUCUGCCGUGGGCGCUGGAGAACUGAGGGGGGCUGCUCCUAGUACGAGAGGACCGGAGUGGACGCAUCACUGGUGUUCGGGUUGUCAUGCCAAUGGCACUGCCCGGUAGCUAAAUGCGGAAGAGAUAAGUGCUGAAAGCAUCUAAGCACGAAACUUGCCCCGAGAUGAGUUCUCCCUGACUCCUUGAGAGUCCUGAAGGAACGUUGAAGACGACGACGUUGAUAGGCCGGGUGUGUAAGCGCAGCGAUGCGUUGAGCUAACCGGUACUAAUGAACCGUGAGGCUUAACCUUACAACGCCGAAGCUGUU
rnacentral:rRNA from 1 species